GUACACUCCUGCGGGAGGCAGCAGUGGGGAAUAUUGGACAAUGGGCGCAAGCCUGAUCCAGCCAUGCCGCGUGAGUGAUGAAGGCCCUAGGGUUGUAAAGCUCUUUCACCGGUGAAGAUAAUGACGGUAACCGGAGAAGAAGCCCCGGCUGACUUCGUGCCAGCAGCCGCGGUAAUACGAAGGGGGCUAGCGUUGUUCGGAUUUACUGGGCGUAAAGCGCACGUAGGCGGACUAUUAAGUCAGGGGUGAAAUCCCGGGGCUCAACCCCGGAACUGCCUUUGAUACUGGUAGUCUUGAGUUCGAGAGAGGUGAGUGGAAUUCCGAGUGUAGAGGUGAAAUUCGUAGAUAUUCGGAGGAACACCAGUGGCGAAGGCGGCUCACUGGCUCGAUACUGACGCUGAGGUGCGAAAGCGUGGGGAGCAAACAGGAUUAGAUACCUUAGUAGUCCCA
rnacentral:rRNA from 1 species